UAUUGUUCUCUGAACUUCCUUGUUUGCUGAACGGCAGGUAAAGUGCAUCUUUUUGUUUGUUUGCUUUUGUGUGUUUGUGUUUUCUCUAAUGGGCCUCAGAUGACCGUUUGCUUAAAUUUGGGUCUCAAAGAAUCUUUUUUUAAUUCUGCCUGUACUCUCCACCCCUCUUCUUCUAUUGCUCAGGUUGAAGCAGAAUUUGCCCGUCUUACAUCUGUUGACCUGAAAGGGUUCCUUUUUGCUGUGCUUGACCAUUAUGGAGAGGUUCGUGGAGCUGUACAAAAUCAAGAGCGGCAUAGAAAGGCUAACUAGGCUCAUAAGAUGCUUCGGAGAUGAUAGCCCUACACAAAGGAAGAGGACAGAGGACCUCAUUUUCUAAAGGAAGAUCCCUCACACACUUUCAAGACUGUGAAGCCGACAGGUAUUGAAGACACAUUUUCUAAGAGGAUGAAAGUUGGCAUUGCGAUGGUGAAAGAAGAA